CGGGAUGUAGCGCAGCCUGGCUUAGCGCGCAGCGUUCGGGACGCUGAGGCCGGGGGUUCAAAUCCCCCCAUCCCGACCA
rnacentral:tRNA from 2 species